rnacentral:lncRNA from 1 species
CAACAACUGCAGAUUAUCAAAACAAUGUUUAUAGUACAAUGUUGUAUCUAUCUUUCACCUAGUAGGGCUUGCAUUCUAUGUAAACACUGUAGUUCAGUUGUGAAGGGUUUUUUUGUUGUUGUUGUUGAACAAAUUCUCAAUGUUUAAUAUAUUACUUGAGGCAAGCAUAUUACCCCUUAAAACUUUUUUUUCCAGUACUGGCAUUGAACCCAAAAGAGUGUUCCAUCACUGAACUACAUCUCCAGCUCUUUUUAUUUUGAUUUUUUAUUAUUUAGUACUGGUGGUUGAAACCAAGGGCGCUCUGCCAUUGACUACAUCCCCAGCCUUUUUUUAUUUUUUGUUUUGAGACAGGGCCUCACUAAGUUGCUAAGGGUGGCCUUAAACUUGUGAUCUGCCUGCCUCAGCCUCCUGAAUUGCUAGGAUUACAGGCGUGUAUCACUGCACUGGGCCCUAGCCCUUUUUAUUUAAUUUUUGCUUUGUUUUGUUUUUGAGACAGGAUCUCACUAAACUGCUGAGUCUGGUCUCAAACUUGCAAUCUUCCUGUCUCAGCCUCCUGAGUAGCAGGGAUCACAGGUGUGUGCUACCACACCCAAAUAAAACUAAAUUUAUUUCUGUGACCUGAAGAUUGUUUACGACAUUGACCAAUGAUGACCAGAGUUUUGCUUUUUCUUUCUGUUCUAUAUGCAUUCUAUUUAUUUAUUUUCUUUACCUUAUUGUACUGGCUAGUCCUCCAGUGCAAUGUUGAAUAAAUGGCAUGUGAAAGAGACAGAGACAGAGAGAUAGAGUUUAAAAAUAUAAAUCUUGGGGUUGGGGCGAUAGCUCAUUGGUCGAGUGCUUGCCUAGCACAUGUGAGGCCCUGGGUUCGAUCCUCAGCACCACAUACAAAUGAAUAAAU